UACGUAGGGUGCAAGCGUUUGUCCGGAAUUAUUGGGCGUAAAGAGCUCGUAGGCGGUUUGUCGCGUCGGGAGUGAAAUCCACUGGCUUAACUGGUGGCUUGCUUUCGAUACGGGCAGACUGGAGGUAUGCAGGGGAGAACGGAAUUCCUGGUGUAGCGGUGAAAUGCGCAGAUAUCAGGAGGAACACCGGUGGCGAAGGCGGGUCUCUGGGCCGUAACUGACGCUGAGGAGCGAAAGCAUGGGGAGCGAACGGG
rnacentral:rRNA from 1 species